GUGACAUUUUUAUGAUGUCAGAAUAUAUAUUAUUUUGUCUUUUCUUACUAGAAUGACUCGGUCAACGGACGGGGACUACGCCCGCUUCUCCACCACGGGACAAAAGCAACGCUGCCCCAUGCCACCUCGGCUUGGCGUUCCGCCUAAAACACCAAACCGGACGUCGAGCCAUCUGACAGCUGGUGACGGACUCUGCGGCCAACAAACCCAACGCCCUCGGCUCUCUCUCACUCUCUCUCCUCUGCCCACCUCCGACUCGCUGUCGCUCGUGCUGUUCCUUCCUCCCUCCACACGCCCGAAUCCCCUCGACCUCUUGCUACAUCGGGAUUCCCUUCCUCCGAGCUCUCUUCCGAGCCCCGCUUCGCCAGGUUUGAUCCAGUCUUAGAGGCCCGGAGUGUUUGAGGUUUAGGGUUCUCCCCCUCUCGUCCCUUUUAUUGCUCCGGGUUGCUCUGAUCUCUUUCUAGAACUAGACCUUCUUGGAGGUAUCAACUGUUCUCGUAUUUGUAGGUUCUCAAGUACUGAUGCUGGGUGAGAGCAUGCGUGGAAUCUGUGUCUCGUGUGAUGCCCCUGGCCAAAUUCAGAGCCGAUGCAUUUGGUGUGACGGUCAUUUCUCUUGUUGUUCUGUUUGAUGUCCUUGCUAUACGAUGCAUAUACCAAGUUGCCUAUUUACGAGUGCAGAUACUGCAACAAAAUUUUCUGCAGCUUGGUUACUUUAAUGGGCCCUGGGUUACAUGCAUAUUUCUUGUUCUAGUUGCAAUUUUAUGGAGAUUAAGUGAAAUUGCUAGAUUAAGUUUUCUGAAAGGAAGUCUUUUCUCCAGCAUAACAUGGCAGAGGAAUAUGUGCAAGCUCUACAUCCUCUUCAACCUUGGGUUUUCAGAACCUUCCAUUUUCUUAAUUCUUGUGUUCCUUUUACGUGCCACUUUGCUGAAGAGAUAGUUGGGUGCUCUAAACCAAAGAUGGAACAAAAAGGCCAUUGGUCAUGUGUUCCUUUUCUGCCUUCCUAUUUCCAUCAUGCAAUUUAUUGUGGUUUUUGUUGGACCCAAGUUAUUCGACAAGGAGAAGGGUGAUGGGAGAGCAAAUAAGGCAAACUACUUUGUAAAGGCUGGUGUUUUGAUUGGGGAUGAGUGUGUUUGCACUUAUCCCUUGUUUAGCACUAUUCUUCUUGGGAUUUUUCAUGCUGCUUUGAUCAGCUAUGCCUUGUUUAUCGGAAUGCAUGUAUUGUCUUCAGCUAUCAACAAACGACUGCUCCGUGGAGGCUCUA